GUUUAUUUCUCUGGGAGUUGCAGGCUUUUGUGUUCUCAGGGCUUGGCAAGGGCCUGGGUCUAUUCUCCAAGUGGAAAUGAAGAGCUGCAGAUUUAUCUGGGCUCCAUGGCUAUCUUCCUUGCAUUCCUUAUUCCCCAGCUGGGUGUCCCAGAGACAUUAAUAAGGGGAAUUGUUUGCUUUUCUUUCUUUUCUUUUCUUUUUUUUUCUUUAAAAAAAAAAAAAACAUAUUGAAGAAACAGAACGAAGCACAAAGCCAAGAGGAGUCAGUCAUCCCUCUGCCUUAAAGUUUAUAGGGGCAAAAAAUCCUAUUGUGGGGAACGUGUGAGAAGCACACCCACAUUAAUGAGUUUGCAUGGCACUUCCACUUAACACACAAACCUCUCAGGCUCAGAAAGUUUAAAGCACUUCUCCAAACUCUUGAAGAAAGUCAGUACUAUAAUUGGGAUUAAAAGCGAUGUGCUCUUUCUCUCAACUCAAGCCUCCACCCUGUAAGGCAGGGAAGACUUAGGGCAGAGGAAGAUGGAGGCUGUGUGGCUCCGUAGGGCUGGGCACGCACCCGGGGCAGGUCUGGACAGAGCCUGGAGCUUGUGGUUAUUCUCUUCAGAGCCUGCACUUGACUCGCUGGGGACUCCGGACAGUCCCUCCUUGCUUUCUGUUUUAAUCUGUUCUACUGGAAGUUGGGCUUUUCAGAAGUGUUACCGUGAAGGUAACAGGGCAGAUUUGGGGUGGCAAUGGGGGGCUGGGUCUGUUUUGGUAUGUCUAGGCUCUCCAGGCCAGCUCCAUGCUGCAUGCCCAGCACUGAAAGCAGGAUCUGAAAACCAGUGGAUGCAUCAUCAGGGGCAGCUCUCAUAUUCUGUGAUGCAGUGGGCUAAGAACCACCUGACUUGGGUGAGUGAGUAUUUGUUGAAUGGUGGCUGUUGAAUGACCAUUGGUGUGUCCUGAAGUCAGAUUUCCUGAAGGAGGUGGCCUUUCAGCCGGGUCCCUUGGACUGGGGAGAAGAAAGGAAAGAGCAACUCAACCUGGACUUUGUCCAGAAACCUGGGCUGACCUCCAGGCUGGGCUUUCGGAAGCUUGUGUCCAUGUGCCCUCCUCCAUUCCCAAGAUUCCUUGCUGAUGGAACCUAUAGCAUCAUGGGCUGAGCAUGUCGGUUCUCUGCCCAGCUAGAUGGGCAUUGCUGGCAGUAGGUCCCCUGUCUAAUCCUCUCUGUGCCCAAUGCCCAGCCGGGAGCUGGCACAGAGUCGGUGCCCUGUGAUUUCUCAUGGA
rnacentral:lncRNA from 1 species